rnacentral:rRNA from 1 species
CCUACGGGAGGCAGCAGUGGGGGAUAUUGCACAAUGGGGGGAACCCUGAUGCAGCGACGCCGCGUGGGUGAAGAAGCGCCUCGGCGCGUAAAGCCCUGUCAGCUGGGAAGAAAAUGACGGUACCUGAAGAAGAAGCCCCGGCUAACUACGUGCCAGCAGCCGCGGUAAUACGUAGGGGGCAAGCGUUAUCCGGAUUUACUGGGGGUAAGGGGGGCGCAGACGGCGAUGCAAGCCAGGAGUGAAAGCCCGGGGCCCAACCCCGGGACUGCUCUUGGAACUGCGUGGCUGGAGUGCAGGAGGGGCAGGCGGAAUGCCUGGUGUAGCGGUGAAAUGCGUAGAUAUCAGGAGGAACAACGGUGGCGAAGGCGGUCUGCUGGACUGCAACUGACGUUGAGGCCCGAAAGCGUGGGGAGCAAACAGGAUUGAUACCCUGGUAGUC